UACAGAGGUCCCAAGCGUUGUUCGGAUUCACUGGGCGUAAAGGGUGCGUAGGCGGUCGGGUAAGUCUGAUGUGAAAUCUCACAGCUUAACUGUGAAACUGCAUUGGAUACUAUCUGGCUAGAGGAAUGGAGGGGAGACUGGAAUACUUGGUGUAGCAGUGAAAUGCGUAGAUAUCAAGUGGAACACCAGUGGCGAAGGCGAGUCUCUGGACAUUUCCUGACGCUGAGGCACGAAAGCCAGGGGAGCAAACGGG
rnacentral:rRNA from 1 species